rnacentral:rRNA from 1 species
UACGGAGGGUGCGAGCGUUGUCCGGAAUCACUGGGCGUAAAGGGCGCGUAGGCGGCUUGCACAGUCAGGCGUGAAAUUCCUGGGCUCAACCUGGGGACUGCGCUUGAGACGUGUGGGCUUGAGUGGGGAAGAGGGUCGUGGAAUUCCCAGUGUAGAGGUGAAAUUCGUAGAUAUUGGGAAGAACACCGGUGGCGAAGGCGGCGACCUGGUCCUUGACUGACGCUGAGGCGCGAAAGCGUGGGGAGCAAACAGG